GCCUGUUUAGCUUAGCUGGUUAAAACGUCUGCCUCAUACGCGGAUUGUCAUUAGUUUAAAUCAAGUAACAGGCA
rnacentral:tRNA from 1 species